rnacentral:lncRNA from 1 species
CCAUGACUGGGUCUGAAUAGAAUGAAUGUUUGGAAAGCAGACUUCAUUCUCUUUACAUUUUCAUGUGUUUGGGACUUUAUAUAGUGGACUAUUGUGUUCAUUUUGUGACACAUAGAGAAGAGAUAUUCUAGGGAUGGUUUUUUUUUUGGGAAACAUAAUAGUAGUCCUGUUUAUGGCUCUCCUUGAAAAUUGGUUCAUCUGUGUUGGUGACCGGUAUUUGCUACCCGAGCUUGUCUGGUGAGCAAAAGAAAAGCAAGUUUAAAAAAUCUGCUAUUAAAAUCGAGAUGAUACAUUUUCACAUAAUAAUAUGUGGAGUUAAGUAAUGAACCAUCUUUAUUAAUUAAUUAAUUUAUUUUUGAGAUGGAAUAUUUUCUCUAUUCCUCGGGCUGGAAUGCAAUGGCGUGAUCUCAGCUCACUGCAACCUCCACCUCCUGGGUUCAAGUGAUUCUCCUGCCUCAGCCUCCUGAGUAGCUGGGAUAACAGGUGCCCGCCACCAUGUCUGGCUAAUUUUUGUGUUUUUAGUAGAGACAAGCUGUCUCCAUGUUGGCCAGAAAUGUGAUUGAUAACAGUAAAGCUGCACUCCUCACGUGCCUGAAAUACCUCUCAUUGUCUUCUUCAGUUGACAAGGGCUCUGGAACAGCCACAUAAAGGUGAGGGCAAUAUUUUUUUUCAUUGAUUGAUUGGUUGAUUGAUUUUUUUCUCUUAGAGGGGUUAGCAUCCAUGUAUCUGAAAUUGAAAUUCAAGAGGAGAGACAGACACCUGUACUAGUUUUCUCUUGCUGCCAAUUAUCACAUUACCACAAACCAGUGGUUUGAAAGCACAGAAGUCUGGAAUGAAGUGGCUGGGUUCUCUGAUCAGAGUCAUGUGAGGCUAAAAUCCAGGAAUGGGCUGGCUGUGUUUUUUUCUAGAGCUCAAGCUAUUUUUUGAAGUUCAAUACAGAUAUUGAAAGAGUUCCUAUUCUUGUUUGUGGGGGACUGAGGGCCCUUUGUCUUUGCUGACUGUCGACCAGGAGACACUCUGACUCCAGAGGC